GACGAACGCUGGCGGCGUGCUUAACACAUGCGAGUCGAACGGAAAGGCCCUGCUUUUGUGGGGUGCUCGAGUGGCGAACGGGUGAGUAACACGUGAGUAACCUGCCCUUGACUUUGGGAUAACUUCAGGAAACUGGGGCUAAUACCGGAUAGGAGCUCCUGCUGCAUGGGGGGGGUUGGAAAGUGUCGGCGGUUGGGGAUGGACUCGCGGCUUAUCAGCUUGUUGGUGGGGUAGUGGCUUACCAAGGCUUUGACGGGUAGCCGGCCUGAGAGGGUGACCGGCCACAUUGGGACUGAGAUACGGCCCAGACUCCUACGGGAGGCAGCAGUGGGGAAUAUUGCACAAUGGGCGGAAGCCUGAUGCAGCAACGCCGCGUGCGGGAUGACGGCCUUCGGGUUGUAAACCGCUUUCGCCAGUGACGAAGCGUGAGUGACGGUAAUGGGUAAAGAAGCACCGGCUAACUACGUG
rnacentral:rRNA from 1 species